rnacentral:rRNA from 1 species
UACGUAGGGGGCUAGCGUUGUCCGGAAUCAUUGGGCGUAAAGCGCGUGUAGGCGGCCCGGUAAGUCCGCUGUGAAAGUCGGGGCUCAACCCUCGGAUGCCGGUGGAUACUGUCGGGCUCGAGUACGGAAGAGGCGAGUGGAAUUCCUGGUGUAGGCGGUGAAAUGCGCAGAUAUCAGGAGGAACACCGAUGGCGAAGGCAGGUCUCUGGGCAUUAACUGACGCUGAGGAGCGAAGCAUGGGAGCGAACAGG